rnacentral:rRNA from 1 species
UACGGAGGGCGCUAGCGUUGUUCGGAUAUACUGGGCGUAAAGCGCACGUAGGCGGCGCCGUAAGUCAGGGGUGAAAUCCCGGAGCUCAACUCCGGAACUGCCCUUGAAACUGCAGUGCUAGAAUCCUGGAGAGGCGAGUGGAAUUCCGAGUGUAGAGGUGAAAUUCGUAGAUAUUCGGAAGAACACCAGUGGCGAAGGCGACUCGCUGGACAGGUAUUGACGCUGAGGUGCGAAAGCGUGGGGAGCAAACAGG